rnacentral:snRNA from 1 species
GGAUGUGAGGGCGAUCUGGCUGCGACAUCUGUCACCCCAGUGAUCACCAGGGUUGAUUCCGCUGAUCUGGCUGGCCAGGUGGGGGUCCCCUUCCUCCCUCACCGCUCCAUGUGCGUCCCUCCCUAGUAUCCGAGGAGCUACACUCCCCUGCUAGAACCUCCAAACAAGCUCUCAGGGUCCCCUUCUCCCUCACCGCUCCAUGUGCGUCCCUCCCUAGUAUCCGAGGAGCUACACUCCCCUGCUAGAACCUCCAAACAAGCUCUCACAUAACAUAGCCAAUAUCAGCCACGCUUAAUAGCAGAACCAUCUGUGAUAGGGAAAAAUUUUAAAGUAAGUUUAGUAGAUUAGCUAUUUAGUU